rnacentral:lncRNA from 1 species
GAUGUAGUAGUAGAUGCGCCUUAAGGAAGGCUGCCUACGUACCCUUGGAAAAGAUCAAGCCACACAUAGUUCCUAUUCAUUGACCAUACCAUAAUCUGAUCUUAUGAAUAUCCUGCAUUAGUAAAUCAAACUAAACCAAAGCAAACUGGACCUUCUUUGGUUAGAUCAGUAUAGAAUAAACCCAAGUAAACAACGCAGGAAGAAUAGACUUUAAAACUUAAUCAAACAUUCCUUUAAACCUUUCCAGUGCCUUUGGGUUGAUCAUGAACUAAAUUUAGACAGGAGACUCACGGCAAAACAAAUGUUUGGUCUAGUGUGUCUAGCCAAAUUCAUUAGAACUCCUAUGGCACUGAGGUAUGGCAUUUCCGGACUGAAUGGAUCACUAUCCAAUUUGAGGCUUCUCACCACCAUUGGGCCUGGUCAAUGGGCGGGCCUGGUCCUUAUUAAAUUUCCUUGAGUACUCUUUCAGUGUAUGCCAUUUGAUGCACAAGGAUUCCAUUAUUCAUGUACUCAGGUUGUAAUCCCAAACAGAACUUAAUUAUUGCCUAGGUCUUUCAUUUGAGAUUCUUUCUUUAGAUAUACUCAACUGUUUGGGCGAUUAUCCAGAGGUUUAAAUCAUUCAUAUACACUGCUAUGAUUACAAAUCCUUUGUUUGCAAACUUCUUGAUAAAAAUACAUGGACUGAUCGAAUCGUUUUUAUAGCCUUCUCUGAUGAGAUAUUCGCUUAACCGGUUAUACCACAUACGUCCGCUUUGUUUCAGUCCAUAUAAGGAUUUGUCCAGCCUUAUGCAGUGCUGUUCUCGAAAAUCUUUCUUAUCUUUGAGCUCAAUACCCUCUGGUAAUCUCAUAUAUUAUCCAGUGGACUUAUAUAAAUAUGCAGGCAUUACAUCCAUUAGCCGCAAAUCUUUCUCUUUUAUAUAGCCAGACUUAGCAAAAAUUUAAAUGUCUUAGCAUCCACCACAGGGGAGUAUAUCUCCUCUAUUUCUGGUCUUUGUGUGAAUCCUUGUGCGACAAGCCGUGUCUGAUAUAUCACGCUUUCACUAUGUUUAUUUCACACUAUCACAAAGACUCAUUUGUCCCACUGGCUUUACAUUGAAUGGUGUCCUUUGUAUUGGACCAAACACAUUCUUCUUCUUAAUGAUUCUUAGCUCCACGUUUUAUGGUCUUGUACCAUUUUAAUCAAUCAGGUCUUUGAGUGCACUCUAGUAUAGACGUGGGCUCCUGAUCCUCAUUCAUUUCAGUUGCUACCUUGUGCGCAAAUAUUUUAUCAUUUAUGUCGACAUUUUUUUUCGGUUCCAUUGUAUUCUAGACAUGAUAUAGUUUAUAGAGAUCUCUUUACACCUUCAGGACCUUGAGGUUUGGCGUCCCAAACCUCAUUGAUUGGUACCUUAGGGUUAUGUCUAUUAGCUGGCCAUGUCUAUGGUUUCUUGAACCUUCUCGGUUUCCCUUGCACCUUUCUUUGAUUUCCGAGGGUUCUUGUCUUUGGAACCUUUUGGGUCUACCACGUUUCUUACGUGUUGUAGCCUCUGUAGCAACUUGAUUAUGUUCCUUGUGAACAUCAAUAUGUACUGGUGCAUUACAAGCUGGUAUGUACGAUUUUGUUACUCUCUUUGGGUCAUUAUAGGAAUCUUGGCAACUGUUUUAGCUAGCUUUUGCAGAUAUAUAGUCUUUUGGAUCUCUGAUGGAGUCCGAGGAUCUUGCCAUGUGAAGGAUGUUUGAUUCCAUGUAAGUUCUUUGACCAGCUUGUUAGUCUCUCCACCUAGUCUUGGGAAAACGAUUCAUUGAGAUGACAAUCCUUGUAUCUGGCCUUUGGCUCGAGAUACUUAAUGAUGGUGGGAGAAUCAUUUUUAACGUAUAUUCCCAUCCCCUUUUGAGGUCCCAUUAUUUGCUCUCUAUGGUGGUGCUAUGGGUAAAUAGGUGACACACCCAAAUGUCUUUAGAUGGGACGUCAUAUCUGGCUCCUGACCUGUGAGUAGUUGGGAUGGUGAAUAUCUAUGCUCACUAGAUGGCCGAAUGCGUAUUAGUUCAGCAGCGUGUAAAACCGCAUGUCCCCAAGCUGAGACCGGAAGCUGCGACCUCAUGAGUAAUGGUCGAGAAAUUAGUUGAAUUCGUUUAAUGAGGGAUUCAGCUAAUCCGUUCUGUGUAUGGACAUGUGCCACAGGAUGUUCCACACUUACCCCCAUGGCCAUACAAUAGUCAUUAAAUGCUUGGGAAGUGAAUUCACCAGCAUUAUCUAAACGUAUGGUCUUAAGAGGAAAAUCUGGAAAAUAGGCUCGCAAUCUGAUGAUUUGGGCCAAUAACCUAACAAACGCUUGGUUCCUAGAAGACAAUAGGUAAACAUGCGACCAGCGGGUCGAUGCAUCGAUUAAAACCAUGAAGUACCGAAAUGUUCCACAAGGUGGAUGGAUCGGACCACAUAUGUCUCCUUGAAGUCGUUCUAGAAAAUGUAAGGUCUCUUUAGACACUUUGACUGGUGAAGGUCGAGUGAUAAGCUUCCCUUGUGAACAGGCUAUGCACGUGUGGUGCUUAGGGAAAACUCGGUUUUCUUUAAGGGUGUGCCCUUUAGAACUUUGAAUUAAUUUACGCAUCAUAUUCGAACCGGGCUGGCCAAGCCGGUCAUGCCAUUAGUGAAUUUCUCAGUAAACCCUUAUUUGUUUACUUUAUUAGCCUUUAUCAUAUUGACCUUGGCAUAGUAAAGAUCUAUGACGCGGGUAUAGUCUCUAAGACCUUCUCAUGGUCUUGGGUGCUCUUAGUAAUAUAUGGGAAUCCUUUGUUCCCUUCACCCUUAGUUUCAAUGUGAAAACCAUUCAAACACAUUUCUUUGAAACUCAACAAGCCCCCUUGGGCUAGGUGAAUAUGAAGCAUCUGAGGAUGCGUGCCCUUGGGAAUAUGGGCCUGCCAUGGGCCUGCCCUUAGCCUUCACUAAAUUUAGCUAUACCCGCAAUUUGGCUAAUGAACCAUGUCUUUAGAUAUUUCGUUUAUUGAAUUCUCAUAAUCAUCUAUCUCAUGGUCGAAAUCUUCUUCACCAUCGUGAUGAACUAAAUGAGCUUCUUGAUUCUUUUCAAACUCUCUUGAUAGAGAUCAACGAGAUGCUUAGGUGUCCUGCACGUCUUAGUCCAAUGGUUUCCCCAUUACUCAUCAGUGGCAAACAAGUUUAUUUGAGUGUUGUGGUUUGGGUAUACCGCGGCCUACCUCGAUUACGACCAAAGUCGGGUCGGUGGCCUUAACCAUAUGAAUGGUUUCCUUGAUCAUAUAAAUUAUAUUUUCCACUUCUACCACGUUCAUUCCAUUUACCAUGACUGUGGCCAUGAUACUUAUCUCUUUGGACGUGGUUAGACUCUUUAGUCUCUUUAGGCUCUUUAGGCUCUUCAGCCCAAUGGGCUUCUGAUAAUGGGUAGGACCAGGAGGUCUCAUUUCACUAUUUAUAACUCAUUGUUUUGCUCAGCAAGUAGCAUAUCAGAAUCAAUGUUCUCAUCACGGUUUCUCCAAAGCCUCACUCCUUAGCACUCUCUACAGAGGAGUCCUCCCCAAAAACAAGAGUUUAGACUUACAUAUGUGGUAAAAACCUUUUUCACGAUAUUGUUGCUGAGGCAAUAUAUUGUUUGUGUGAAAGGUCGAGAAUGCUUUCUCUAGCAAGUCAUUCUCAGUAACUUCCUCAUCACGGAAUCUCAGUAUUGACACUAUUUUAAAUAGUGCUGAGUUAUACUCAUUCAUGGAUUUGAAUUCCUUGAAUCUGAGAUUCUUUCGAUCGAAUCGGGCUUUUGGGUAAUAGCACCGUUCUGAGGUCCAGAGGAUUCUUAAUAGUGAGGUACUGAUUUUGAGACUCUCAUUGAGGUGAUGGCGUAUGUUAGUAAUCGCCUUAUAUCUUUCUCUUCUGGUGACAUUGUUUUCUUCCACAAUAGAUUCACCAAGCCCCUUUUUCCUUUAGGAUAAUCUCAGUGUCCAAAGCCCAUUGUAAAUAAUUGUCACGAGAGGCAUUGAGUGCCGUGUAUUCAUAAUAGUUGAUUUCUGACAUCUAUAAUAUAUAGAGUUAAAUGAGAACUCAUGUAAUCGGUUAGACCAAGUCAUGCGGUAUUUAAGACCGAGCCAUGCUUAUCUUCAGCAAGUGUUUUCUACACAAUCAUGUUAUAUAUAUAUGGAUGAAAUCAACCCUAGAAGAUUGAUCUAGUAUGCAACAAAAAACAACCAAACAAUCGGAUCAUACUAGAUUAGGAUAUUAUGAUUUCGCGGUUAAGUUUUAGGGUUUUAGCAUCCGCGAAUUAUAGUACUAGGGUUUUUUCUAGGGUUUCGGUUUUAUGUAUGGAACUUUCUAUUUAUGGAAUCUUUCCUUAUAUGGAACUUUCCAUUUAUGGAAACUUUCUAUUUCUCAUCUAGAAAGAAAUUCUAAACAAACGUGUACUUUAGGGUUUUGGAAUAUUUCCUUAUGAAGGGGUUUCCUAUUUUGGUAACUUUCCAUUUUGGGAAACUUGCUACUUUAGGGAACCUUUUAUUUUGGGAAACUUGCUAUUUUACGAAACUUUCUAUUUCUGGAAACUUUCCUUAUAUGGAAACUUUCUAUUUAUGGAGAUUUUAUAUUUAUGGAAACUUUCUAUUUCUGGAAACUUUCCUUAUAUGGGAAACUUGAUCUUAAACCGUGACUUAGGGUUUAUUAAACCGGUUUAACCUAGGAUUUAGGGUUUCGGUUUACUUUCGGUUUAACCUAGGGUUUAUAUUAAAACAUUCAAUCUAUCAUGCCAUGCAUUAAACAUCUUUCCAUUCACUAACUUCUCAAUUAAUUCUCCAAUCAUAAAUCAAAUCACAUGUGCCAAUUUUCAUGCAAAUUUUAUCUUAUCAAACUUUAAUUGGAUCAUGUAUAUAAAGCAUAAUAAAUAAAUAGCACUUAUCUUAAUUGGAGAAGAUAACAGAGAUCCGAGAUCUGAUACGGAGAUUGGAAACAGUUAUGUCUCUUAGCUGGUUGGGACCUCCUACAAAAUCUCAAUAUAUAUAAUCCUGAUUCCUGAGAAACUCAAAAUUUUGCUCAUGGAAACAUGGCUAUUACAUUAGUAAAAAGAAAAAAAAUAGGGUUUUUGUAAUAUACUGCAUAAAACAGUUCAGAAUCAAUAACAUAUAAUCCGUGCAUAAAUCGUACAAAAAUAUAGACAGGAUUGAUAAUAAAUAAUCCAUGCAAAAUUUGUGCAAAUCUACAGACAUAAUUGACAACAGAUAAUAUGUGCAAACUUCGUGCAGAAAUACAGAUAAAAUUGAUAACAUAUAAUCCGUGCAAAAUUCGUGCAAAACUACAGACAGAAUUGAAAACAAAUAAUCCGUGCAAAAUUCGUGCAGAAAUACAGACAAAAUUGAUAACAUAUAAUCUGUGCAAAAUUCGUGCAAAACUACAGACAGAAUAGAUAACAGAUCAUCUGUGCAAAAUUCGUGCAGAAACAAAUAUGAACAGAAAACUUAUCUCGAUAGAGUUUAGAAUUUUGUUUGCAGAGACGGCUAGGGUUUUGGUUUUGGUUUUUUGUGAGAGAGAUUUAGGGUUUCGGGAUUUUUAAUUUUUAGGGUGAGAGGCUAUCGUGCUGAUAACAUGUUGUGAACUGUGUCUUUCAUUAAUAGUAUAAGGGAUAUAUAUACAAGGAUAAUAGCAGGAUACAGAGAAUAAGGUAAAACCCUAAUGGGCCAUGGGCCGGUUAUGGAGUCCAUCCAUAUGGUUUAUAACAAAAAUCACUUUUUUCUAUUUUAAAUGAAUCACUUAAACACUACAUAUAAUUAGUUUAGGUGAAUCUCGUAUUACCAUUGUUUCAAUUUACUUUUAGGUUUACUGAAUAACGCAAAAAAAGUCUUUUUCAACCCCAACAAUUCGUAAAGUGACUUUUCUGACAUGUACAAACGUUUUAGUGCUAAUUUCUACUCCAACGCUAAAUUUAAAUUGCAUAUCCCAAUUCUCGAUUUUGAAUUCAGAAUCGUUGUUAACGGAUGUUAGUCAACAGUUAAAGAUACUGACUCAACUGACAAGUGUCUGACGAGAUAGCAAUUUUGCUUUGUAAAACAACGCCGUUUGGUGCUUGGGAUUUGAAUUCUUUUUUAAAAUUGUAAGACCCGUGAAUAGAAUCAAACCUUCGACCUUUGACAUAUUUAAGCAUACACAAUAUUUUUAAGCAUACAAAGAAAUUCUAACAUCUUUGAAUUAAACAUAAAAUAAAUCUGAGAACGUACUUGUUUAACUUAACAGAUAAUAAUAACCAACAAAAAAAUCUUAUCUUUGCAAACCAUGUUCUUUAAAUCAAGGGACGGAUUUGCUCUUGCUCGUGUAAUUAGCAAAACUCCAGUGAGACUUCUUAAAACUUGCCAAUAAACGAUGUGUUCAAACUUCAAAUUGGCAUGAAGUGGAGGGAAGCAGUAUUACAAUGAUCACAGAUAACACCAAAACUAAUUUUAUUUUUGUAAAUAUAAAAUAAUAGAAGAUCCUAUAAAUCAACAAACCUUUUGUUUUCCCUGAUUUAUCGAAGACUCGACUCUUUAUAAUCGUAUAACAAGAAGAAAAAAAGUGUGAGAUGAUUACUAGGGAUAAAUAAUUUCUGUUACAUAAUAAAAUAUUCUAAUGUAGAUUGUCUAACAUGAGCUCAUUUCUUAACCAAUCGUGUAAUUUAUACAAUAAUAACAAAUAAAAUAAAUGUUUAUUCCAAUUGCGUCAUUUUAUCAUAACUCUUCGUAUUCUUAUUUUUUAAUUACCAAAAUAAGAAAUAAACCCAUUUGAUUUAACUGUUACAACAGAUCAAUUUAACUGUUAUAACAUUUGGUUUAUUUGACAAACCAUUGCAAAUUUUUAUUUAUUUUGUAAUAUUUCAUUAUCUAUAAUCAUGCUUCUCGGUAUGACUUAUCAUCAAAAAAAAUAAUGCUUAACUAUGAAAAUAUGUUUAAACUAACUUUUGCAACCGUUUAAUUUAACCAUUGUAACAUUUAGUUUAUUUGACGAAACAUUGCAACUUUUAAUUUAUUUUACGAACCGUUCUAACUUUUAGUUUUUUUUUUAUGAGCCACUGUAAUCUUUGGGAUAUCUAAUAUUUAAGGUUGCAUCUCUUGGUAAAACUCUUUAUAAUUAUAUAUUUUUUACUUUUUAAUUACUAAAAAUACUUAAAUUAUAAAUAUAACACUAAUGGAAGAUAAUUUUAAUAAAAGAUAUUCCCUCUGUUUUAUAUUAUAGGAUGUUUUAGACAUUUUUUUUGUUUCACAAUAUAUAUGAUGUCUUGAAAAAAAAAAUCAAGUUUCUAUGCAAGAAAAGAAUAAUUGGCUUAUUGAAAAGAAAAAGAUAAUUUGAAAAAAAAAAAAAAAAAAAAGGAAAUUGAUUUUGAGUAUUCCUUCUUCAAAUAAUUAUCAAUCGACCACCUAUAAAUAAAAAGAUUAAAAGCAAAAUUAGUUGUAGGGUUAAACUACCGUAACCGUGUGUCGUCUUACCUUCGAUCAAAUAUAUCACAAGAAAGGUUAAAUACUUAAAUUCUUUGGCUAUCAUAUCUAUAGAGAGGGAAUUGGUUCGACAACUCGAUUAUGUGAGUUUGGUGAAUGAGUUUUUAGGAAAAAGAUAGAAAAUAGUAGUUUAGAAAUUUUCUUUUCUUUCAUCUUAUCACUAUUGUGUAUGCUUUGAAACAAUAUUUUCGUUAUUCUGAUAUAUGUUUUAAUAACAAAUGCCACAUUUUUUUAUACGCCCUAAGCUAUAAUUAGCCUUAGUACGACACUGUCCAUAUAUCCAUGAGAUAAAAAUGGAGAGAUGAAACCUUGGUUUUAUAAUCCAAGCUCUCAAGAUUAGAAAUAAAAAGGAGUAAUUAGAAUUAUUAUCAACAUAAAAGUCAUAUUCUCAAUGAUAGUCAUUGACUCUAUUAUUUUCAUCAAUUGAUUUGUUGUUCCAUAAUCUCUAUACUAUUAAAAGAGAAGUACAAAUGUAAAUGGGUCGGGUCAAAAUCAGAAAAUUGACCCGAAAUUCUGAAAUCGGAUCUUUAAAAUUAGUUUGGAAUAUAAAUUCGAAUUAAUAAUGAAAAAUUGAACUAAAAUCAAAUGUUUAUGGAAAUCAAAUAAAAUUUUAUUGUACUUAUGGUAACUAAUUAUAAAAUCAUAUUCCGAACAAUAUUAUACAUUAAUUACGUAUAAUAUAUUUGUUCAUAUACUUUUAGAACUAAUUCCAUAACAAUUAACGUUUUUCUCAUUAAUUUUGCUUAUUUUAGCCAGUUAUCAUUAAUUAAAAGAUAUCUUACUUGCUUCUAGAGAUUUCUAAAAAAUUUAUCACAACUAACCCAUCUAUUUUAUAAAUUAAAUAAAUAGAUAUUUUUAUUUUGGUCGUGUAAAUUAAAUAGAUAUGAAAUCUAUGUAACUAAUUUUAAUUUAAUUAGAUUAAAUCGAAAUUAUGGUAUUUUCAUACAAUCAUACUUAUAGUUUACCAAAGAAGUUUAAUUUUCAAAUUAUAAAGAUUUCUUGAAUAUGAUUUUUAGAAUCAUUCAACAAAAUGAUAAAUAUUUAUUAAAUUUUGUGAAUCAUGAAAAAUAUUAAUUAUUUUUAAUCAUUAUAUUUCACCUUUCAAUCUCCCAUCUAACAAAUAAGAUACAUAUUCUAUAAUUCCUAUGUCCAAACUCCAUUGAGUUGUAUGACUAAAUAAUAUUUCCAUUAGAGCUGUCAAAACGAGUUGAUUCGUCCCGUUAAGCCUGUUUUGCAAUAGGCAAAAUAUAGUUUGGCAUGUAGUUAGUCUGUCUGCAUGACCCGCGGGUAGCAUAUAUGAAACACAACCCCGUCGCGCGAAUGUAUGCUGAUUUGCGGAGUUAUCCGUGGAUUUUGUUUAAAUAAUUUUAGAGUAACCAAAAUUUAAAAUUCUAAUAAAAUAAAUAAAUUAAAAUGUUUUUAGAGAAAAUAAUCUUAUAUAUCAUUAUAUUUAUAAAUAUUAUAAUUUCAUUUAUUAAAAGUUUUUUAAACUACCACAUGUUGAAUAAAUUAUAUUUUUAUCAAUAAAUACUAUCAUGCGGGUUGAUCCGCCAACCCCCGGACGAAAACCGAUGACCCACUGCGAAUCAAUCCAUGUGGCCCGCUUAUUUGCGGGUUUAAUAUAUUUUCCCAAAUCUGGCCUAUAGUGAGAUGAUUUGGGCUCGACCCACGGUUUUUGACCUAUUUUGACUGCUUUAAUUCCCAUGAUUCGUCUAAUUUUUGAAUUCUAAAACACAAAAUUCCAUUUUGUAAAUCAUAAUUAAUACGAUUGGUUUAAUUAUAAACAAUUUAAUAUUUUUUUUACAAUUUUUUAUUAGGAAUAUUUAUAAGUACAUUACACGAUUCGUUCUACUAAAAACACGCACAAUAUUAAAAUCAACGUAUGUAAAUCAAUAUUCUCCCGCGGUGGACCGCGGGUCCGAUCCUAGUUCACAAUUAAAAGAGAUGUAUGUUGAAUCUUUUAACAUUAUAACUUAUAUACAUUUGGGUACAUAACAAUUAUUAUUUAAGUUAUAAGCUCAUUUCUCGAAUCUCAAAUCCCAAAUCCGGUCCACCUCGACACGAUACAAAACGGCUCGGCACAUAUGCUUGGUUUGGAUUUUUCCUUUAACUUCUGAAGUGCAACAUUUAAUCCUUUAGUCAAAUUUCAAGCUAUCCAAGCUAGCUACUUUGGACCUCCAUUUCUCAUUCAAACGAACUUCAAUUUUGAAAGUUACCCGAAAAAAUUAGUUCGGCGCAACUAAUGAAAAUAAGUUCCAACACACUAUACAUCUUUUAAACUUAGAUUUGAUCUCAUAAAAUGGAAAAGAGGAGAGUUGCUCAAUGUGACAACUCUCUAGGUUAAUCACAUUGUUCUCAUUACAUGACUAUAUAUAUAAGAGACUACUUGACUAAGUCAAAUGCUUUUAUCUAAUAACACCCCCUUAAUGUUUUUUUUUUCCCUAAAAUGUAAAAUAUCAUUAUUAAUGAAAGUUAGGUAUUAACACUUUUUUAUAAUUUUUUUUUACUUUUUACCUUGAUGUAUUCACUAUUGGCUCUUUUACUAAAAAAAAACGUUAGAUGAGAUAGAUCUCUUCACGAAAGAGAGGAAAGUGCUUAGGUGAAUAGACAGUACUUGAGAAUGCCUAAUUUCUUUCUCAACUUCCUCCACCUCGGAGAGAUAAAUAUAUCAUUAUCAUCACAUUCCUUCACUUUGGAGAAAUCAUUAUCAUCACCUUUGGCAAAACGAUCCCAAAUUAUGUUGUUGUAACCAUAUUUUAAUCUCAGUAGACGUAUAUAUCUUUGCACCAAAAAAUACUAUAAACUCCAUCGUUAAUUUUAUUUUGGCUUGACAUUCAUCAAUAAAAAUAAACAUAUUCUUGCUUCUUUUAAACAAUCAAAACUCAUUUAUUAACUUCAAAUCAAGAUUCCUACAAAGUUUCCAAUGUGAACAAAACACAAAACAUUAACAGACUGAAGUGUUAAUGUUUUUUUUUUUUUGCUAAAAUGUAAAUAUCAUUAUUAAUGAAAGUUAGGAAUUACAUAAAAAAAUAACCUAGAGUUAGGUGAGUAAUCUCCGAAAAAAAUACAAAACAAGACUAUAGUAGGUUUGGGUUUGAUUUGGUGCUUACCGGAGAUCGAAAGCAGCAUAAGUUCCUUCCAACGUUUCUUGUGCCUCUCGGUUAAUGUUCUUAAAGAUGACGAUCAAAGGAGAAAUUAUUUGAGAGUUGUGGUAUACAAUUUUCCUCGGUUUAAAAAUGUGAUAAACCACCGCUUGAGCUACAACUUUCCGGAGAGUAGUUGGAGCCUGAGAAGAAGAAUGCCAUAUUUUCCAUUUUUUUUAAUUAUAAUAUUUUUAUUUCGAUUUUCACCAUAUUCGUUCAUUUAAUUUACCACUCAUGUUUUUGCAACCCUCUUUAUUUUUAAUUUGCUAAAAAACAUUAUUUUCAUUUGUACAUAUUAGUUGUUCAAUUGAUGCAAAAUUUUGAUAACCAACCAGCAAAAUUUAGAUCACUAACCAACUGCAAGUAUUGACAAANNNNNNNNNNNNNNNNNNNNNNNNNNNNNNNNNNNNNNNNNNNNNNNNNNNNNNNNNNNNNNNNNNNNNNNNNNNNNNNNNNNNNNNNNNNNNNNNNNNNUCUAGUUUAGGAAAGGAAAGCUGUUUGGUAGAGGUGACGGAGAACUGUAGACAUAUGACUCUGGAUGUGGCACGUACAUAGGCUCUUGUCUUCUAUAUUGUGGUGGUGGAGGUGGUGGUGAUUCUGAAGGGUAAGGAGAAUACUUUUUGGGUGGAUAAGGGGAAGUGUAUUGUGGUGUUGAAAGGGAUGAGUCGUAUGCUAUCACUAUAGCAGCAAUGGCACUAAAGACCACAACAUAAACGACCAAGCAAUGACCAACCCCUAUCAUUCUUGAGGAUCUCAUCGUACCCGUAGCUGCUCUUUUAAUCUCCUUUUGUUUUUGUUUUUCUUUUUGUUAUGAUAUAGUUCAACAUGAGAAUCCUUUAUAUAAGAUCGUUUUGUGUAAUAAAUAACUUAUCUUCUCCAUUUAGGUUCGUGUGUGGCACUUACAAAUAAUUUUGAAGACGUGCUAAGUUGCUUAUUUGAAAAGUAGUGAUCGUAAGGGGAUGAAUAUCUGAGAUUCUCUUGCAAAUAUCAAUAAGUUUAUGAUAUCUUCACAUUCUUUUGUUAUUUUUUUAUAGCAACUUGAUUUAAAGAAACAUCAGAAGCCAUGUAUAGAUGAUAUUUUUGCCAUAAUGGUUUUUUUUAUGUGCGAACGCGUCAUUAUUACAUGUAUAUAAUUAGUUGAAAACAUCUGAUCAAAGAAUUUACUAAAUUUUUUGAAUGAUAUAAAACUCUAAUUAGUGCUUGUGGGAAUUUUGUUGUAUUAGUAAAAACUGAAAAGAAAAGAGAGAGUCUCACCUAGUUGAUACAAUAAAAUGUAUAAUCCAUAUUGAAACAUAUUAUUCUGAUAAUAGAGAAUACAUCAAAUGAGGAAUUAAUUAGUAAUGACUACAUUGGUAUCACCGGUUGUGGAAUACUCUUGAGAUUCGAAACCAGGAUGGCAGCAACAUUGGCCGGUUGUUUUGUGAACAUAUUUUUGACAAAACCCUCCUUUGUUGAAUCCUUUAAAUCUACAAAGUUCGUUGCAUGUCAUAUCGUUUGUACAUUUUGAUCCCGGUAUACAUGGUAUGACUUCGACUGCAUAAACAAACACAUUAAGAAGAUUAAGUACAAAAACUAUCGAUUGAUUAUUUUAUGAAUUUGUAUUACUAGUGCAUGUUUAUGUUUCUGAUUCCAAUCCCGGUGAGUUUGAUAAUAUUUUUUUACAAUAACAAUAUAAAUUUUAAAGUUUUUUUUAAAAAAAAAAAAACUAAAUUCUGAGCGAUAGCCAUUAUUUCUUUUCAAACUGUUAACAUAUUUUUCAAUCUGAAUUGCCACCUUUAAAAUAACACAAAAUGACCUUCCGUUAUAGUGGAGUUGACUGAAUCUUUUCUUAAAGAAAAAUAUACAGAAAAAAAAAAAUUUUGUAACUAAAUGUAAAAAAAAAAUAAUAUGAUUAAAUCUUUUGUUUUAAAAUUGUUUCACUAUUCAUCUUUUAGACUAAACAAUACGCAUCAAUAUAAAAAGCUAAUUUUUAUGAUGCAUGAAACCAUACAUUUUACUAACUUUAAAAAAUACUAUCAUUUUUCACACUAGAGUAACUCGACUUAUUAAAAAACUCUGAUAAACAUUCCAAAAUAAAAGCAUUUAACGUGUAUUUACAUUCACAAAUGUUUUUGUUCAAAUGUAAAACUAAUAUUAAAAUAUAUUGGUUUUCUUCACAUGUAAAACUAAUAUUUCAACAUGUUAAUGCAAAUACAGAGAAUUUUGAUCAUUUUAUUUCGUGUAUAUUGCUGGUAGAAGCAUCCCAAUUUUUUCAAAGAAAUCCUAUACUAAUAUUUGGGAAGUACAUCCUAAGGAUCAUAACGUUGAUUUUGUAAGAAAUUACAAUAUAUGCCAUUAAAGAAUUCUAAUCAUAAUCAUUUUAUUCCAUGUCACUAAUAUAUAUUAACGGGUCAACGGGUCAAACGGGUUUGAAUAUAUUAAAAGAUUUUGUUUAUAUAAUUCAUAUAAUUCGAAAAAAUAUUUCUUCAAACGAUUACACAAUUAAUAUAAUUCGAAAAUGUUAUAUACUAAUCAAUUCGAAAAUGUUACAAAAAUAGUAUAAAUGUUAUAUACUAAUCUAUUAUUCGAAAAUGUGAUCGCAAAUAUUAUUGAAAAUGUUAUAUAGUAAUCCAUUAUUCGAACAUGUUAUCAAAAAUGUUAUUGAAAAUGUUAAUGAAAAUGAUACAUCAUUGAAAACAUUUUAUAUCAAUCGAAUUUAUAAAAAAAUGUUAUUUUGAAUUAUAAUACUCAUAUAGUUCGAAAAUGUUAUUGAAAAUGUUAUAUACUAAUCCAUUAUUCAAAAAUUUUAUUAAAAAUUGAAAAUGUUAUAUCAUUGAAAAAAUAUUAUAUUAUUCGGAUUUAUCAAGAAACUAUUAUUUUUCACGUCUAUAGUUAGCCAAAAUAUAUUAUUCGAAUUAUAAUUAAACAAAAGUUAUUAUUCGAUUUGGUGCAUUACUACAAUUCGUAAUCUUUGAGAAUAUUUUCAGUUUCCUUAAAAUAUUUUAUCAUCAAUUAUUGAUUUCGUUUGUUAUAUUCUGUUUCUUAUAAUUUAAAAACGCAAAAUCAAAUCCCCUGUAUUAAGCAACUACAACAAACACCAGUAAAAAAGUCAACAAAAUAUUCGAAUUUCCUAAAAUAUAUUUAUCAUUAACUAUAAAAUCUAAAAUCUUUCAAAAAUUGUUAACCAUGUAAAGAUUUUGUAGUUAAGGAAACAAAAAUUUAUUUUGAACAUAAUUUUGAUUUAAAAAAAUAUAAAUCGUAAUGUAUCUUGCAACUUAGGAUUCCUUAUAUUAUGGGAAUCAAAGAUUUUUCUUUUUCAAUCAUAAAUUGGGUUAUAUAUAAGGAUAGUUUUUAAAAUUUAAUAAUAAAAUCACCAUAUUUGUUAAGAUCUUAGUAGUUAAAUAUAUUUAGAUUAGUCGGCUAAACCUAAAUUAUGUACAAACUAUCUCUCUAUAAAUAAUGGCAUUUCAAGCUAACUCGGUUUGAUUUAAGGUUUUGUUGUCAAAAUAAAGUUAAUAAUAUUUUUUUGCUUUUGUCACUGCAGAUAAAAACUCCACUUAUCUACACUUAUGGCAUCGAUGUGACGCGUAAAACAUCUAAAAGGGAUAUUGUGGUGAUUCAUGAAGACGCCUGUUUCUGUUGAUGGCUAAGACAACGAUUGGAAACUGUUUAAUGAUCCGUUUAAAGGUAAAACCAAAGACAUGUGUUUUUUUAUGAGAGAAUUUGAUACCAAAAAUCUGUGAAACAUAAUUGUGAAAGAUUCAGUGCGUUUAUUUUACAGUGCAACGAAUGCAACAUGGUCUAUGUGUGAUGUAUUGGUAUACACGUACGUAAUAGUAUUGUUCUAAUCCUCUUAAUUGAAUAUUUUAUUUUUCAGAUGUAAAGAUCUGGUCUUCAACCCGAUGUAAAAGCACAUGAAAAGAGCUUGACGAGAGAGAAAAGCCUUAAUUCGAAAUGGUAUAUUAUUGUUUAUAUACCAAUUUUUCUAUAUAAUUGUAGGAACCAUACCUAUUAAGAAACAAAUUUCUAUAUCUAAAUACACAUUUUAAUGAUGAGAGAUAUUUUCUUUAUACUUAAAUCGUUUAUAGAUUUGUUUUUUUUGUAUAACUAUAAAUAUUGCUUCUAUUGACAAGUCGAUUUUUCUAAUUUAUUUAUUUAGAUGAAUUUGAAUACCUUUUAUUUUGUUUAUUUUCACAUGUCUUGACUUGAUGGUUUGUUUCAGAUCUUCAUCCAAAGAAUCUCAUCCAAAGAGUCUGAUUCAAUGAGCCUGUGUAUUGGGAAUCUGGAAGUAAAAAGAAAUUCAAGGUGAAACUAUUUAGAAGGUUUGUAUGUUUCAAAUAUUUAUGAUUUACAUGAAAACGUAUAUCUAUUUUUUUUACUUAAGGAGAUAUAUAAAAUUGAAGUCACUAUGAAACAUGAUUAUGUCACCUACUGAGAAUUGAAGAUUAAGAUGGAAGGUUAUGCUAAUUUCAUGCUUAUAUAUAUGAGUAUUAUCGUUUCUCUAAUACAAAACAACACCUAAAUUUAUAAAGUAGUUUUCCUUUACAGGUCAACAGAUCACUAUAAACACAAGGAAACAAAGAGACAUCUAUGAUUCAUGGAUCAAGGAAUAUUGAUCGAACUCAUUGACAGCGUAAGUCUUAUCUCUUGAUUUAUUCUUUUAUAUUGCAUCUAGGUCCAGAUCCUGUGAAGUAACACAAAUCACAAUAUGUAGAAAAUUUGAAAAAAAAAUUAGCAGAUGAAUAUGUAAGUAGACAAUAAAUAUUUUCGAGUCUCAAUCUAAGAACUUCCCUACAAUUUCACGAAAAAAAAUCAUUUGUACCUUAUGAUUUUUCGAGUCUCUCUAUAUUUGGUAUCACCAAGGCAAGUAUUGUAAAAUGUCAAACUGUAUUAUGAUCAUCUUGGUAAGAACGAUGAUCUAAAUUUCGGAGUCGGAGGUCACACUGAAUCUGCAUGUCUCGAUGAUGUCCUUGAUGUUGAAGAUGACUUCUCCCCUCCCCGAUUAAGCUUUCUUCUUUGGGUCUAAAUGAUAAAUGGGCUUUUUAAGACCUCAAACUACAAUAUGUUUGGUUCUAAAUUAUGUGUUUAAUGGGUUUCAAUUUGAAUUUAGCCUUCUUUUUUUCUUUUUUUCGUUUCCAACAAUUUAAAAUCAUUUGACUCAUUCGACUCUUCAUAUAUCCAACUAGAUUAUAUGUGUGAAUACUUGCAAAUUUAGCACAUUGAUAUUAUAUAUAUCUACCAAUUCUGUUGCUAUUUACUUUCGACCUUAUAGUCAGGGUUAUUACAUUCGAUGUCUUACAUCGUAUUUGUUUUUAAUUUAUUGUACAAUGAUUAAGAAUAAAAACAUUUUCAUAUUAUUUUAUGCAAGCAUCCUAUACCUUAAAAUUUUAUUGAACCUAAAUCACAUAACCUAUAAAUUAAACUCAAUUUAUACGAAGAAAAAAAAACGGAUUGUUUAGUCAUGAACUAAAUUCAGUCACAAUCUCAUGAACCUGAAUUUAUAAAUUGAAAUCAUAGUUACAACUCAAUAAGUAUAUAUUAUGUACGCCACAAUCUUUCUUAUAAAUAAACUAUAAUUAAAUGAUAUAACAGAAAAGUGAUUUAAUACUUGAAAUUCAAAUCCGGUUUACAUUCAGUCAUGAUCUGACCGCCGGGUCAAUCCGAGUUUCAAGAUACACAUAAAACUAUUAUCAUUUUUAACAUUCAUAAACAGGAUUAAACCUAGACCGAAUACUAAACUGAAUACCAAACCAAUAUGUAUACAGAUUAUAUAUGUUACACCAAAUUAAAUGUUUAUAAACAUAACUUCGCACGAACGGAACAUGAAUUACGGAUAAUAAGAAAGUAUCAGAUAUUUUGGGUAGCUAAAUUUAGUUAUUAAUAUCUCACUAAUUUGGAUAUUAUCAACUUCGGGCCGGGUAAAGGUCUAUUUUGGGAUGAAAGUUUCGAGAAAUUCGAGUGUUUUUUUAAGAUAUAAUUGAGAAAUAUAUAUAAAGAACAUGUGGAUCAUUUUAACUAAUUUUGUAAAACUUAAAUAUCCAAACAAAAAUACAAGAAAUACACGUAUCUCAUACGAAUCCUAGACCUAUUCUCUUACCCGUUGAACUGAAAUAUAAAAUUGCAAACGUGUAAAUUAUUUAAAAAGAAACGGUUAUAAUAUGGAAUAAUUUCUGACAGAUUUCGGUUGAGAAGGGUUUUCCGUCCCGAAAUGGACUUUCCUACUUUUUCUCAUUUUUUUUUAUAUAAUUGCCUUUACUGAUAACAAAAACAAUUCCAAUACUCCUUCUCUCUAAAUCGAAUCGAAACCGGUAUGUAUGCAGGUUAUAAGUGCUACAUCAAAUUAAAUCUUAACAAACAUAUCUUCGCACGAACGGGCGAUAAUUACGGUAAUAUGAAGGUAUCAUAAAUUUAGGGUAGCUGAAUUCAAUUCUUAAACUCUCACUAAUUUAGAUAUCUAUCAAUUUUGGUACGGGUAAAGGUAUAUUUCAAGAUAAAAGUUCUGAGAAAUUCGGGUAUUUUUAAGACAUAAGUGAGAAAUAUUAAAAAAAAAAAGGGAUAAUUUACACUAAUUUUGUAAAAUUAAAUACUCAAAUGGAAAAUACAAAAAAAAUAUAAUACAUGUAUGAUGUAUCCCAUCCGAAUCCUAGACCUAUUCCCUUACCCGCUGGACUAAAAUUUGAGGACCAAAAUGCAUGUGUUAAAAUAAAUUCUGUAACCGCAUAAUAAUUUCAUAUUCCAAAAUAGAAGUAUUUGUUUAACAAAAAAAGAAUUCAUAAACAUAUACAAUAUAUAUUUCCAAAAAGUAUAAACUUAUAAACUUAGGCUUUAAGUUUUACUAUAAGAUAUAUUUAUAAAAUAAAAGAAAAAUUAUAAAACACUAAUAAAUUGGAUAUUUACGGGUCACAUAGUAAAGCGAGAAAUAUACCGGGUAAAGUGACAAGUAUUAAAAAAACAUAUAUCUGAUACUUGACUUUUACCUACGGGUAACAUAAUAACACCCUUUACCUGACCCUAAGGUCACAUAUACCUUCUUUUCGAGACGGGUACGAGACGGAUACGAGUCGAGUACCUAUCAACCGGUUAGUUUAUCUCAUCGGUUCACAGAUUUUUAAUCAUUCACAAGUUUAAUAAAAAUCUUAUAGAUCACUAAUCCGCUUCACGGUUAUUUCCAGUCCAUCUGCUUCAAAGUAAUGGUCAAAAUUGAACCAUUUAAAACAUUUAACUAUUUUAUACUUCACACUAAAACCGAAUCAAACUGCACUUGGUAUAAAUUCCACACGUACGUGCUGAUCAGAAUCUACAUAUAGGACCAAAAUUACAAAAGAAUCUAUAUUGAAUUAAAUUUUAUGAAAACACAUUUUUUAUAAUAUGAAAUCCCGCACAUAUGUGCGGGUCAAGAUCUAGUCUUUAAAUAAGACUUCAAGUCUCCCACCAUGAUAUCAGAGAAAAAUAAACAAAAAUAAUCGCAUUUAAGACAAUUUACUUCUGAGUAAAUAUAUUUGUUACCUGAAAUUAUGGAUGGAAGGAUGAGAGCAAACACCAUCAACAAAAGUAAGAGAAAAUAUGAAAACUUCUGAAUGGCCAUUGUUUAUGUUGCUAAAAAAUACAACAACUCACAGUUAGAAUAUUCUUGAGAAACAAAAAAAAAAAAAAACUAUAGAAAAGUACACUGAUAGUCUGAUAGUAAGAAUAUUAGAUUUUACAAAUAUUUGAAAGAUGUUAUUGAUACUGUUUUAAUAUUCAAGUGGUUGUCUUUCAACAUUUUUUAUGAUAUUAUACAACCCAAUUUACCUUUCUUUUGGAUAUAUAGAUGUUGGGAAUUGACUGUUUUUUUUUUUAUCUAUGGUUUUUCUAUAUUAUAUAUGGAGUAUUUGUUUUAUUUGGUUAUUUGAACAAUGAUGAUUUGGUCAAAGGUGUUGUUAUUAAUUUAUACUCAGAUUCAUGAUUGUGUUUAAAUAGUUUUGUUGACCACCAUUUUAUCUGAAGGGGUUAUAAUUUUCUUUCCUGUUUAGAUAAAAAUAGUUAAGCUGACCACAAUUGUAUUAGACUUGCUUUUAAACGUUGAUAGUAUCUACUAUCUACUUUAAUUGUUUGGCUUUGACUAAGAAAGAAAAUAACAUCACAUCGGCCAUUCAAAUUUCUUUUAUAAUAGAUAUGUAACUGAUUUAUUAAAAUAGGUAGAAUUUUUUGAAAACGUUUAUUUGGUUAUUCAGACGGUGAUCUUGGUCAAAACAAUUGAUGUCACUUACAUUUUAAAAUCGUAUAAUAUAUAUCAGGUAAAGAAAUUUGUAGGGGGCUUUUUAUUUUAGUUGAAUCAUUUAGAGUCAUUGUUUAAAUUUAAAUUAAUUUUAUGGACCGAUUUUUAAAAAAUCUAGAUACAAAAGCUCAAGUAUUUUGAUGGCAGAAACCAAAUUUAGAUCCUUAUUUUUUUUUUUUGUUAAAAUUGUUUUAGAUCCUUAUUGUCAGUGCCGGCCCGACAUCUUCGAGUGCCAUAGCAAAGCUUCAAAAAGUAUGCCUUUUUCAUAUACUACAAAAACCAUUAACGAAUCAUUAUCGAAUUUGCUUUUUUUUUUAAAACAAAUUUGGAAGGAAAAAACAAUAAAUUCAAAAGCAAAACUAACAAUUAACUUCAAAACCUAGGAUUUUUCACUUGUAAAAUAAGCAAAUUGACUCACAUACACGCAUAAGAGAGGUAUCACUUGUAGGAUUUUUAGAGUUUUUUUUACUAAAUCAAAAAUUUAGUGUUGAAGAUAAUUAGUUUGUUUUUAAAAGCCCAUAUCAUUUUUUUUAAAGGCCCUACAAAAUUAAUUUAUAGCUUUUGCAGCAUAUCCAAAACUUAACAAAUUUUUAGUUUAAAAGGCCCUAAAAUUUUGAGGCCCCAAUCGUUGGCUUCAGUUGCUUGGCCUCUGCGCCGGCCCUGCUUAUUGUCAUGUGAUAUGGGACCAGGGCCGACUUAAGAGGCAGCGCAAUGGGGCGAGGGUCCAUAUUUUUCAGCUAAAUUUGCCACACAUUUGAGAUGACAUAUAGUGGUAGAUAAUAAAAUUUUUCAAAAUAUGUUACCCUCUUUUUGUGAAGAAGAAGUUGUCUCGCAAUUGCGUCGAUUUAUUCUUCUCAAUUUCGUAGCUGAUAUAUCAUACAAAUAUCUCGCAAAAAAAAAAUGUAUGUAUAUAUGUAUGCUUAUAUAAACCAAAGUUGGCAAGAGUAAGUGAGUAAAGAAGAAAGAUCACUUAAAAAUAAAUAUUUUCUUGAAAUCCCCUUUUGACAAUUAAAUAUAUUUUUCUAAAUUUUGGAGCGAGAUAAUGUCUCACGGGAUUUAUGUUCGAGAGUGGAUGUAUAAACACAUAAAUUCCAAUGGAUGGGCUAGAAGAAUUCAUGGAAACGCGAAUCAAAUGUUAUUGACGUGAAAAACCGGUAACAUGUACUAACCAAGUCAAAAGUACGAAAAUGUUCAAUAUUUUUCUAUCAAAACCGUCACAAGACAUUCAUAUAAUAGAAAGUUUCUAUCAAAUUAUUAUAUAUGGUUUUCGCAUAGUGAGGCAAAUCUUAUUAUAUAAAUUAUGGUUUUCAAAGUUAAUAACUCGCAUGAUCGUGACAUGUGUCAAGUCUAUCGAUUAGAUGUUGACAUGUGUCAAAAAAUAUUUAACUUUUUUCAUUAACGAAAUAGGAAAACUAAAAAAAAAAAGAAUAUUUACAUAUACUAAUUUAUAUAUCUAAUUUUUAAAAUUUGUUAACUUUAUUUUUCUUAGCCAAAAAGGAAAACUAACAAUUUCUUAGAUUUGACAUGUGUUAAUUGUUUUCUAUAAAAUCAUUUAGUAUGGAUAUUAACAAAUAAACAAUAACUGUUGAAGUUUUAAAUAACAAUAUAAGUUAUUUAACAUUAAUUUAAUUAGAUAAAAUUGUAUUUAUCAUCGUAAUAUAGUGUUUUUAUUCAUCAAAUGAAAACACAAAAUUUUGACAAAAAAUAAUGAGCUUAUAAAAACGAACAAAUAUUUGAUAAGAAAAUUAGUGUGGUUAUACUUAAUUUUAUUUUAACAAUUUUAGUGCAUCUAGUCAUAAUUAUAAACUAAAAAUAUUUGGGAAAAUGGCUUAUAUGAUUGAAUUUUUGACUAAUGAGAAUGUUAAUAUAUAUAUAUAUAUAUAUUUUAAUGAUUUAUUUAUUAAUUUUAACUUAUUUAAAAUUAGUUUGCCAUGAGGUAAAACUAACUUAUGGGAUUACGUUAUAUAGAAAACUAUAUUUUAACAAUGUUUGUUUUCCAUAACUUUUGUGGAUUUCUAUUUUUUAUUAAAUGUUUUGUUAUUUUUUAAUAUAUUUAAUUUUUAAUAUUAACUAAGAUAUAGAUUUGAUAUGAUAUAUAUACGAUUUUGAUACAAAAUUAUUAUUAACAGUUUAUCCAAUAAGAUGAACUAUGAAGACUUAAAAUCAAGUUUAUUGUGAUGUUAUAAAUAGUUAAAUUAUAUUGGAAAAUGGAAUGUGUAAGAUUAAAAUUUCGUUUUAAAAAAAAAUACUAAAUUGAAUAUAUAAAAGUGUGUCAGUUACUAUUUAGGAUUUAAAUAUCAUCAAUGCGAAAAAAUGUGUAGAAUUAAAAUUCAGUUUAUUACGAUGAAAUAAAUAACUAAAAUGUAUAGAAAAUAGAAUAUGUAAGAUUUAAUUUUUUCUUAAAACAAAAAAUACUAAAUUAUUAAAUAUUAGGGAAACUGAAUGGAUUAUUAUAUUAAUCAAAAUUCAAAUAUAAUUGAUAACAAUUUAUAUUUAUAUAUUAUACCCGCCUAUUUAGGCGGGCCUUAUCUAGUAUGAUAUACAUCGUCUAGUAUAACGUUUUCAACAUGUAGAGCAUGCUGAUCAUUCACGACUAUAUCAUAUAAAAACGAUUCGCAAUUUUGCGAGAAAUUUUUCCUAACUCAUCCGACGAUAAGAAAUGUAUCGUUUUCGUUGUCACCAGUAAACAAAACAUAAAAUAAGAGACCUCUAUUUCCUUCACAAGUUAAUAUGUGGUAGGUAAUUUUAAGGGUGAGUUAAAUAUGUAUGCUCAGACGAACGAAAAAUUAAGUAUGUAUGCUUUCAUAAUUAGUUAUUUAGUUCUCUCUCUUCACCUUAAAUAAUUAAGACGAAAAUACCCAUAUAAAACAUAAAGAUCUUUAGUUGUGUAGCACAGAUACGGAGGCUAACCGAGUUAAGCAACUUAUCGACUAACCACGUUAUUAUCGUCCGCGUUUGUCUUUCAGCCAAAUAUCAUCACCAACAUCUGUAAUAGCAACACCUUAAGACAGAGCAAAAGAAAAAAUUAUGAGAUAUAAGUAACGAAAACAUUACAGAGUAACUCAAGUAUCGAUUAAUAUUGUCAUUAGCAUUUGCGUUACUCUGAAUUGCAGUAACUUCACCAACCUUAGCAAGACUAGCGCCCUAAAACAAGGAAUGCAAAAAAAAAAAAAAAAAACCAACCGGUGCUAACGAAAAUAUAAACACUAACUACUAAAUUAUCAGCUAACAUCGUCUUUAACACAAUCUAUCCUCUUAAAAUUAUAGACAAAUACGAACAAUUAGAUAACAAACACUUGACUAUAGUAGUUAAAUUAUCAAACAUAUAUAAUUAUCAAAAAAAUUACGAGCUAUAAGUAACGAAAACAUUACAGAAUAACUUAAGUAUCGACUAAUUUUUUAGCAUUUGCGUUACUCUGAAUUCCAAUAACUUCACCAACUUUAGGAGUACUAGCACCCUAAACAAUGAAUGCAAAAUAAAUAUACCGAGUUAAAUAUUAUAUCGCAAUAAGUUUAUAAUUUAUGUGAUAAAUUCAUAUUUAUCGUGUAAACCAAUUUAUUAUAUAUAUUAGAUAUAAAAACAACGGGUUACAUAUAAUAUAGUAUUUGUGUGUAUAAUUAUUUGAUUAACAUGUGAAUUAGUAUAGUUUCGUAGUAAAUUCAUAUAUUAUGUGUUCAAUGCAUAUUUAUCAUGUUAAAACCAGUAAUCAUAUUUAUGCAUAAUUAUAAUAAAAUACAUAUUUAUGCAUAAUUACUCUUUUGCUAAUGUAAGUAACUGGAUAAAAAUUUCUAAUAACGGGUAUCCCUUAUAUAUUAAUUGAAAAGCAUUUUUAAUAAAUAACCUUAUCUUCAUGUGUGAUUAACAAAAAUGUCAUGCUGACGUGUCGUUCUCAUAGAGCUUCUCAAUCCAUUUAAUUAAAAACCCAACACUUAUUAAGAUAUUUACAGAUUUUGCCAUUAGUUUUACUUAUAUUUAUUUUUUCACUUGAUUUAUGUUUUUUAUUUUACUCAAUUAAUUAAAAAUAAAAUACAAUUAAUUAAAACAAAAAUACAAUUAUAAUAUGCAAUUAAGAUAUAAAAAUCUAUACAAAAUGGAGUACCUAGUAUUUUGUAUAUUGAUUAAUAUACCAAGAUAUAUAUCAUAAAUUAUGAUAAACAUAAACAUUAAUACAUAAAUAAAAAAUUUACUAAUCUUGAUAAUCAUUAAUACACCACCGUUUAUCUAAUAAUAUAAAAAUCGAACACCUUCAAUCUUUUUUUUUGGUAGGAGUGAACACCUUCAAUAUUGUCAAUACAUUAAAAUUGGUUAAUAAUCGUUUUGUCCCGCACUAUGUGCGGGUUGUUAUCUAGUAUAUAAUUAUAAACGAUAACAAUAAUAAUAAUAUGUUAAGUAAUACUAUAAAUCGUUAACAAUAACAAAAUAAUAAUUUAUUUACCUAACUACAAAAUUGAGUUAUUAAUUCUUUAAUAUUACAUAUAUUUAUAACGGAUUAAUAGUUUAUUUAACGGAAUUUUACAUUGUUUAAUCGUUAAUUUAUAAAUUAUCGGAUCAAUUCGAGUUUAUAUUUAGUUUAGCAAAAUAUCUCACAGUUUUUCUAAUUCCACCGUCAUAAUCUCCGAUAACAAUUGAAGUAUUAGAUACAUCACAACACAAAUUGAAACUCAAACAUAGACGCCUUCACGAAUUCCAUAUUAAUUAGAACUCAAACCACACAAACAGAGACAAAAAAUUGCCCUCGUCAUCGUCCAUGACGAUAUCCAUUGAUUCCUGAGAAUCAUUAGACACUCCUCCUAAUACUCUAGUUUUCCAACAACCAAUAUAACUUCAAUCAAUUGUUGGCAAACACAUGGGUCAAGGAGCCGUCUCGGCGGAGCUGGUCUCGAGUUCAACGUUGGGUCAAGGCGCCGUCUCGGCGGAGCUGGUCUCGAGUUCAACAUUGACGUCCGUCAUAAGUAUUGACAGAGAAUGAAAUUGUCUAGAGUUUUUUUAUUUUCUUCUUCUCACAUCAAACACAAGUAAGAAAGAGAAAUUAAAUAAUGAAGAUAGGGAUAAAAAAAUCCAAAUUUAUUAAACACUAAACAGUAGAUGAGAUAUUUAGGGAGGAAAGAGAACUAAUUUUCCACUUAUCUGAGCAUAGAUAAUGGUAUAUCUCUAAUUUUAAAACUUAACAAUCUGAGAAGACACUGGUUUAACUUGACAGUCAACCAAACCAAAACCUUUGCAAUCCGGCCGGUUUAAGUUGACUAGCCGGUCUAAAUCGAACACUUAAACCAAAACCUAAAUCCGGUUAAAGAAAACUGUACAUUUGACAGCUUCGUCUUCUUCACCAACUACCCCAUUUCUGCUUCUGCUUCUACUUAGAGACAGACAAAGAGAGAUCGCUUCGGCACAAUCUGCAAUUUUCCAACAUCGACAUGUUUAACUCUAUGGCGUUGAUAAUUUUCACCAUUCUUUUCCUCUCAAUCUCCGACGCGUUCCCGAUUCCGUCGCCGAACGGAGAGAUCGACGCAAUGUUAGUCCGAAACAGUCUCAUCGGAGAAGAUGAAGAUCUAAUGCCAACUGAGAUCAGCCGGAGAGUACUGAUGGCACAGAAACGGUACAUCGGCUACGAAACCCUAAGGAGAGACAUGGUUCCUUGUCAGAAACCAGGAGCUUCUUACUACGAUUGUCGCUCCGGACAAGCUAAUUCUUACAACAGAGGCUGCGAGACCAUUACAAGAUGUGCUAGAGACACAAGCGACAUCAAGACAUGAAGGUAAGAUCCAAGAAAUUGCCAAAAUUGGAAGUUUUUUAGCUUUUGGUCUGAAAUUCAGAGGCAAGUAAGUUCUAUAUAUGUUUUGAGCCUUUUUUGAUAUAUGAAUUGUUAUAUAUAAUUGUAACACUACAACUAUUUUUGCUUAAUUAUUGAGAUCUAUAAAUUAUAUGAAGUUUUUUCAGUAGAUUGAUGGAUAAAUUUGGGUGUUAGUUUUGCUUGUUUUUGGGUGAUUUGGACCAAAUUAGAAUCUUGUCACUUAGUAUAUUAAGAUUCUUGCUAAUUACACGAGCAAGAGCAAUCUGUGUUCUUCAAAUAACACCAAAAUCAUCUUAUAGUUUAACAAUAAAUCUCAACAAUAGAGUUUUAUUUUUGUAAGUAUAGAAAAUCUUUUGAAUCAACAAAAUAGUCUUAAGAAGUAACUAAACCACCAAAUCUAUAAACUCCAGAGUAAUGAACAUUGCAGGUCCUUUUUUUAUCUCUCUAUAACGUAUGAGUUUGGUGAUAUGAGGCUCUCCACGUACGUAUUUCCGAGUAGAGACUUGUCGAAUUCAACACCGCGGAUUUUCAGAUUCUUCCUAGUAUUACGCUCAAAAUUGUACAAGACCAAGUGUCCAUCGAGCACCAGAAGAACCUCCUCGUUAUUCUCGGUCGAACACAGCGGUUUCAUGUGUUUGUAGGAACGGCUGAUUCGAAUCUUACUCCAAGAACUCUCGAGGCCGUACUCGUUCAUUACCCAUAUAACAUCAUGUAUCUUCAUGCAAAAAUAAACAACACAAAGACGCCCUUUGAGAAUACCGACCUUAGAUUUUGGAUAGAUAUGCUCACAUUCCUCGGCCAAAUCAGGUAAUGACAUAACUCGGAACUUCUCUGUCGUAAGGUCAAAUGCUGUAACCACUUUCUGACUAGUUUCUCCUCUUCUAGGUAUGGAAAUCCAAUGGAUCGCUCCGUUGAGUUCCACAGAGGUAAAAAAACAAACAUCUUUAUAAGGCAUAUUGCAUAUUCGUCUCCACGAAUCUGUCUUCAAUGAGUAGACAUAAUUGUCGUUACCAUCAAUAAACUUAACCACUUUGAAAUCAUUGUUUAGAGAAUCGAAACCAAACCCAUAACUAAACAAAGUUUUAGUGGAUUUGGAACGCAAAGAUUCAGGCAAGUCUGGUAGUUUCUUGGAUUCUCCGGUGGUCGGGUUAUACAAGAAGACAUCGUUUAAAAGCAAAAUGUUAGCCAUACACAGCAACCCGUUCGAAGAUCCAAAGAAACGAACCCAACGUUUUUUAUAUUUUCCGGACGAAUGAAUUCCAUCUGAAUUCGAUUUCAAUUCAGCUUUCUUAUAUAAUUCAGAUAAGAAAUCUACAUCUUCUUUAAGCGGGUAAUCGAGUUCCACAGCAGUCAAAUCCUUAAUUCCUUCACAACCAUCACGGAUCGAAUCUAAAUCUACCGCAAAUAGAUUAUUGAAAGGCAGUAUAAGUCUACGGUGGCCCAAUCGUACCGCGUUAUGAUCGAGAUGCUUUUUCGCAAACUUGGGAUCGGAUAAGAGAGAGUGAAAAGGCUUUGACACGCAUCUGAAUCUCCCCAAUGAUCUAGCAUGUGAUCGAAGCAGAAUUUCUGUGAUUACCUCUUGAGGAAGGUAGGGCAAUUUCGUGGGUGAAGCUUCGUGAUGGGUCCCAACUCUCCCCCUCUUCGUCGCCUCCAUUAUAUUGUUCUCUGAACAGAAACCUUUAUUUCUAAAAGAUAUUUAAGGCUUUACUAUCGUGAUUCUUAAAGCUAUUUAUAUGUGCCGUUCAAUCAUUAUUAAGGCUACCCUAAACCUAGCUUACACAACAAGCUAAAUAAAUAAUAUAAGGCAAUAAAUAAUUUGACUAACAUGUGUGCUUAUUAGAAAAAAAUAUAAAUCAUUGAAAAUCAAAAAUCAUAUCUUAUAACAUCCAAACUUUUCAAAUAGUCUAGUCUACUAAUCUUAAGUGUUUCACAUCCUUCAAUCGUCUAGUUCCUUGCAAUUAUGAUAUAGAGAAAAUGUUCGUGAUUCUGAUCGAGUAUUUUCGGUCGGGUUUGAGUUCCUACUUCGGGUUCGGGUUUUUUGUCCAGCCCUAGCUUACUGCUGAGACGAUCUAGACUCGUUACGCAGCGUAAAUUUUACAUUGUCAACCCCUCUCUUUUUAUCUCUUUGGAGGAACGUUCUCAUUGUUCUCACAAAAGCAGUAAAAUUUGAAACUUUCAAGGCAGAUUUUAGUAGUCCUGACAAAGAAGAAAGAUAGUUCGUUGAAGAAAAUGAAAACGCAUAUUUUUAGCUGAAUGUUAACAAAAAGUUAGAUUGAAAGAGCCUUUCUGAAUUAAUUAGAGAACUUUGAAACGUGUACGAUAGUAACUACAACCGCAGAUCCACCCACGAAUCGAACCCAUGUGUUAUUUCGUGUGUUAACCCACAUUAAAGAUGAGCAACUGAGACAUUCAUUCAACAAAAGUCGCUAAAAAUUGGGAUACCGAAAACAAGUUUCCCCUUUUUUUGGUUUCUCAUUUGUUUGAAGAGUACAACGUUGAACAGAACACACAAAAUAAAAUCAAGAGGAAACUAAACCAUAAACCAAAAACUAAUUUAAGUUUGAUGAAAAAUGGAGAAAACAAGCACAACCUUUAAAAGCCAAUAACCCUUAUUCAUACUGAUAUUUGGUCAACUUCAUCAGAAGACCAAUAUCUCAAACAGUUCCACUCUUCCACCACAAGUAGACCCGAACCAUACGCUUUGUCCACUCUCUCUCUCUCUCAGUACCUGUAGUGAGGAGGCUUGUAUGGUCCCUCAAUCGGAAUGCUGAUGUAGUCAGAUUGGUCCUUUGACAGCUUUGUAAGCCUGGCUCCAAGCUUGCCCAAGUGAAGUGCUGCAACCUUCUCAUCCAAAUGCUUGGGAAGAACGUACACCUUCUUCUCGUACUUACCGCUUGACUUCUCGUUCCAGAGCUCGAGCUGGGCAAUAACCUGGUUGGUGAAAGAGCAAGACAUCACGAAACUCGGGUGACCAGUGGCACAACCCAAGUUCAUGAGACGACCCUCAGCCAAGACAAUGAUUCCGGUCUUGGUCUCUGGGAACACCCACCUGUCAGUCUGAGGCUUGAUGGUGAUACGCUUAACACCAGGGUAAGUCUCCAAUCCAAGCAUGUCAAUCUCAUUGUCAAAGUGACCAAUGUUGCACACAAUAGCGUUGUUCUUCAUCUUCCUCAUGUGGUCAACCAUGAUGAUGUCUUUGUUACCAGUGGUGGUGACAAAGAUAUCAGCUUCUGAGACAACAUCCUCAAGGGUAAGAACCUGAAGUCCUUCCAUCAAAGCUUGAAGGGCACAGAUGGGGUCAAUCUCAGUCACAAUGACUCUAGCACCAGCAGUCUUCAUGGCAGCAGCACAACCCUUUCCAACAUCACCAUAUCCACAGAUAACAGCAACCUUUCCAGCGAUCAUAACAUCAGUGGCCCUCAUGAGACCAUCAGGAAGUGAGUGACGGCAACCAUACAAGUUGUCGAACUGUAAAUCAACAACACAUGAAAUUCUCAGUGACAGCACAUAACAUUAAUCUGUUCUCCACUAAUAAUAAACAAACACAGUGAUGAAUAUAAAAUCAAUUAGAAACACUGAGUUUAAAGUUAACCCUGUAACCAAGUAAAGACAGUUUCCUACUACUUAGUGAUUACGUUGUUGUUUAAACCUAUAAGCAACAAAAACUACAGAUCUAGAGACCUAUCAGCCUCAUCAUCACUAGUAAAGAUCAAUACCUUGCUCUUGGUGACAGAGUCAUUGACGUUAAUGGCAGGGAACAAGAGAGUUCCAUUUUCCUGCAUCUGAUAAAGCCUCUUAACACCAGUAGUAGUUUCCUCAGAGACACCAACAAGUCUCUCCUUCAUCUUAUGGUACUUCUUAGGAUCAACCUGAAGACCUUCCUUGAUAAUAGACAACACGAUCUGAAACUCAGGGUUAUCAGUAGAAGUAGGAUCAGGAACUUGACCAGUCUUCUCAAAAAUCUCCUCAGCUUUAACACCUUCAUGAAUCAAAAGCGUAGCGUCACCACCAUCAUCAACAAUCAGAUCAGGACCACCACCUGGACCCCAAUCAAGAGCACGUUCCGUACACCACCAAUACUCCUGAAGCGUCUCACCUUUCCAGGCGAAAACAGCGGCGGAGUCACGAGCGAUUGCGGCGGCGGCGUGGUCUUGAGUGGAGAAGAUGUUGCAAGAACACCAUCUGACUUCAGCACCGAGAGCAGUUAGGGUUUCGAUGAGUACGGCGGUUUGGAUCGUCAUGUGAAGAGAUCCGGUGAUUCUAGCGCCUUUGAAUGGUUGAGAUGGUCCGAACUCGGUACGACAAGCCAUGAGUCCAGGCAUCUCAACUUCGGCGAGCUCGAGUUCGAGACGACCGAAAUCGGCUUGAGACAUGUCUUUGACCUUGUAUUCACGGCCGCUUGAGGUCUUCUCGACGAGCAACGCCAUUUUUCUAGAUCUGAGAUUUGAAAUCGAAGGAGGCAGAGAGAGAG